CCUAUCAACUUUUGAUGCCAGUUUCUGCGCCUACCAUGGUGACCGCAGGUAACGGGGAAUCCGGGUUGGAUUACG